AACGGUCUAUACCUGCGGUACCUGCGGAAGGAUCAUUAUAGAGUGGUAAACCUCCCGUAAAAAGGGGGGGACCUCCCGUCCUUUGCAGGCUCUUUUUUAAGGGGCUUUUUUGACUUUCUGCUUCGGUGGGGUUAUCCUACCGGAACAACUUCAAAACUCUGAAUCAAAAAAAUCGUUCUGUCCGAGGGCUUUUUUAUAAAAUAAAAAAAAACUUUUAGCAAUGGAUCUCUAGAUCGGAAG
rnacentral:misc_RNA from 1 species